UGCACUCUGGGACAAGCCCUGGAAACGGGGUCUAAUACCGGAUACGACCACUGAGCGCAUGCUUGGUGGUGGAAAGCUCCGGCGGUGCAGGAUGAGCCCGCGGCCUAUCAGCUUGUUGGUGGGGUGAUGGCCUACCAAGGCGACGACGGGUAGCCGGCCUGAGAGGGCGACCGGCCACACUGGGACUGAGACACGGCCCAGACUCCUACGGGAGGCAGCAGUGGGGAAUAUUGCACAAUGGGCGAAAGCCUGAUGCAGCGACGCCGCGUGAGGGAUGACGGCCUUCGGGUUGUAAACCUCUUUCAGCAGGGAAGAAGCGAAAGUGACGGUACCUGCAGAAGAAGCGCCGGCUAACUACGUGCCAGCAGCCGCGGUAAUACGUAGGGCGCAAGCGUUGUCCGGAAUUAUUGGGCGUAAAGAGCUCGUAGGCGGCUUGUCGCGUCGGAUGUGAAAGCCCGGGGCUUAACCCCGGGUCUGCAUUCGAUACGGGCAGGCUAGAGUUCGGUAGGGGAGAUCGGAAUUCCUGGUGUAGCGGUGAAAUGCGCAGAUAUCAGGAGGAACACCGGUGGCGAAGGCGGAUCUCUGGGCCGAUACUGACGCUGAGGAGCGAAAGCGUGGGGAGCGAACAGGAUUAGAUACCCUGGUAGUCCACGCCGUAAACGUUGGGAACUAGGUGUGGGCGACAUUCCACGUCGUCCGUGCCGCACUAACGCAUUAAGUUCCCCGCCUGGGGAGUACGGCCGCAAGGC
rnacentral:rRNA from 1 species